ensembl:lncRNA
GUAAUAUCCAUCACUCGAAGAAAUAUUUAUGCAUGUCUCGCUACAGGCUUAAGGGCCAUCAGGGGGCAACUGUUAAAAAAGAAGACUGGAUGAGACUCCACAGUAACAGCGCUCGGCUCUCUUGUUCUAUGACCUCAGUUAAUACUCUCUUGGUGAGCAAUUGUUUGUUUCACAGACUGCUGAAAACAACAUGAUGUUCAUUUUUGCAAAUGAUUACACUCUUUACCAUCUGAAACCGGGUAUAGUUUAUGAUGGGCCAACCUCAUAUCUGGAAAGUUGCUUCGAAAUAGCGAGACAGUUGAACACUCAGCUCGACCCUUCAUAACAGCACCUCCCUAACCAUUAGACGGCAUAAUCGCGCUCACGUCCACCUUUCAUGUACGAAUAGAUUUAAUGUAGAUCUUCUGGAGAUUACGGCCUUAUUAGUGGACUCUUGUGUCUCGUCUCGUGUACUUGUCUCUUUUUUUUCAUUAAUAUUUUACUUUGUCUGGGUUACUUUAUGGAAAUUGUACCCCCUAACCCCCCUAUUUGAUCACGUGUUGAGUUUCAGAGAUGUGACACAUUUUUGUGAGCUCCCCAUCUCUCUUGAGUAUUUAAACAGUCACUGUGACAGGCAAGUGAAGAUCAACGUGCAUGUGGGAAUAUAAAUAUUAAGCCGAAUUUUGGAAGCAUACUUGUUGAUGCAUAACCUUGUCGCCUAAGAAAGGGCAGAUAACCCUUAAUGAAACUGUCAAUAAUAAAUAACUGUGUUAUUUUCUCAGACUAAAAGGUCCCUGCAGAGCUUCUGUUGUUCAUAGGCUGAGUGGGACUGAGCGUGAUGAGUAACUUGACCUUAAUAUUGUAAAAUAUGUCCAAUCUGGUGUUGCUUUAGGCAAACUCUUGUUUACUGUAGUUCAUCAAUGAAGCACAGAAAAAGAAGAAGGAAGCGUGCCUUCUAAUUUUCAUUUUCUGUCCUCAGACCAAAUGUUUCAUCUGUGGGAUCGGGAACGAUUACUUCGACACAACCCCCCACGGCUUUGAGACCCACACCUUACAAGAGCACAAUUUGGCCAACUAUCUGUUUUUCCUGAUGUACCUCAUCAACAAGGAUGAGACAGAGCACACUGGACAGGUAGAAGACUAUUUUACCCUGAUUAGCUUAACCCAUUC